UCGCACGUACUAGCCAAAGAUCGAAUCUCUGCGAAGCCAAACCAUCUUAAGUUUCAGGGACUUUGAGUCUUAAACAAAGCUCCAUAAAAUCCAAAUUUUAUAAAUUACAUUGCAAUUAUUAAUAUAAUGAAUAAAAUUCAGAACAUCCUUUAUUCAAACACUUUAAAAACUCUUGAAGGGCCCGUUCGAACCUAUUGACUGUGCACAAUACCUAACAAAUAUCAUGUGAACUAAUAAUCUUUAAAGGGGCUAUAAGAUCAAAUCACACGCCUAAGAAAAUCAUUUCCAAUACAAGGCAGUAUUACUCAGCCUUUAUCCUGUUCAAAUUCCCAUGCCAAAUUAUAAACAAGUACGCUGGGUUUUAAGCCAUGAAUCAGAACCUCAAUACAAGCAAUCAAACAAAAACAUCACAUGCCACUAUUACGGAAUCCAAUAGUCAGGAACUUCAUCAUAAUCCAACAAGAAAUCAACUAUACAUCUUACACUACAUAGAAAACUAAUAAGAUUCUCAUAGCAUUAAACUAAUACAACGAUUGAAUGAAAUGAAAUAACAGGGGGUCAAAAGUCCAAUAACAUGAAUCUUCCAUUAUAUGUCCAUGUUCCAUUGCGCAUUCAUACUUCACAGAUUAAUCAAAGUGUCGAAUGAUACCUGGAAGUGAAAAAAAGAAACAAAGCAAAGAGUAGAAAUCAGCACCAGUAGAGCCAAUGGAACAGUGAAAUCAGCUCGGAUCGGCAAUGAAACAGUAUUUCUCAACAACAGGUCCAAACCAGCUUUAAAAGUACCCAGAACUCAACUCAUUUCCAUCCUAGAAUUAGAAAAAAACUAUCACAUCUUCGGUGAUUUUAACUGGACUAUUCAGAAUAACCAAAAUCCUAACAAAAUUUCCAUUAGUUGCCUAGAGAACCUCCAAAAUUACAAGCUAUUUUCUGAAUUUCUUCUUGGGAAACAACCGUUUUAAGUUUCUGAAAUUUUAUCUCUGAAGUUCUCUCUUGGGUCUGCCUUGAAAGGCAAGAAAACCAUGCCUUUAUAGGCAAGGAAGUAGGGUAGCUUAUAAAAAAUCAGAUUUUGCAUUUCGCCCCUUUUUCAAUUUUGUUUUAGCUCACCUACCCCUAACGUAAAAUUCAGAAUUUCAGAAUAGUCCCAAACCCCAGCUUCCUAGAAGCUUCCCAUUCAGUUACACAAAGAUUUCCCACCCCAAUUACCUAUACUACCCUCCCCACUACUGUUUAUUACCCUCUAUAUGCCAGGAAGAACCCGGGUUAAAUUGACCCAAUGGUUUGAAUCCCAAAAUGAAUAGGUCAGAAUCGAACCCAAGGCCCAAACAAAAUCAUAAAAAAUAUUGAAAAUAUUAAAAAAUCUAACCUAAGCUAAUUAUCAUAAAAUAUCAUAAAAAACAGAGAACCUCAAUUGAGAAUUUAAAAAGAAAACUGAAAAUUGAACGGAACAAAAACGAACCCCAAAUUAAUCUAAAGGGAAAGACUAGGUUCGAAACUCUUUGAUCAAUUUCAGAUGGAGGAUAGGUCACUCAAACAAACGUAGAAGGAAAGAAGAAGAACGAGAGAUAAAAUGAACAAUAACGGACAGGAAACGAAAGAAGAGUCACCAAGUAAAACUCGAAGCCAACACUGGAACCUUCAAUUUAACGAAAUUGAUGCUAAUCACUUGUUCUUUGUCAAGAACAAAUGAACAGCAUCGAUUUGCGUUGAAUCAAACUUCGAAAUGUGAAAAUCGGAAGCGUAGGCUGAUGCAUGCCGCAGAAUCGAGAGUAAAGCGAUUUAGGGUUUUAAGGUUCAUCCCUUCGAAUCAAGAUUCGACGGAAUCUAGUGUGAUUCAAAGGAAAUAGAAUAGAGAUUGGAGAAGAGGGGGUGUGAGGGUUUCAAGGUGUUAGUUUGGUCUGGUUUGGUGGUGGCGCCGCCAGGUUUAUGAUGGUGGAGAAUAGGGGUGGCGGGUAGGGUUUUGGUGGGGUCUCUGAGGUGGGAGUUGAAAGAGGCGAGAUGAGGGGGGGAGUAGGGUAGAGUUUGGACAUAUAUAUAUAUAUAUUAAGACCUCCCCACUUCUGAACCGUCAGAUCACCUAACCUUGACGGUCGAGAUCAAAGGGUAACAAAACGACGUCGUUUCGGAUGAGGGGGUGACCGGACCGGGUUGAGACGUAAUUGGGCCUUAGCUUGGACGAUUUAAUGGGGAACAACUUGGGCUGGUAUAAGCUUGGCCCAGAACUGAGUUUGUUUUAAUUCCCUUUUCCUUUUCAUUUUCAUUUUUUCAAUUUUCUUCUAAUUUCUUUUAAAUUAAAAUUAAAAUAAUGCCUAAAUUAAUUCCUAAUCAAAUUAUUCUAUCAAAUUAAAUUAGCUAACUAUAAAUAAUAAUUACCAUGGCUAAUUAAAUACCAAGUUAAAGAAAAAUCACCAAAAUUCACAAUUAAAAUUAAAAGUGCAAAAUAAACUAUUUUGUGAUUUUUUUUCAUUUUUUAUAAAGCACUAAAUGACUUAAUUAAUGCAAAAUUAGAUCCUAAAUGCAAAUGCAGAGUAUUUUUGUAUUUUCAUGAAUUAAAUAAAAUAAAUAUACAUAUACAAAUGCAGACAAUUAUCAGAAAAUGCCACGAAAUCCACAAGAAUUGCAAAUAAUGAAAGAAGUUAUUUUGUUUUGAAUUUAUGGGAGUAAUUCAUAUAGGGAAAAAAUCACAUGCUCACAUCCAGAAAAUCAGCUAGUCGUUCCAUGAGUAAAUCGUUUUAUAUUUUAAUUUUAAGUAUAUUCUUCAUAUCAAAUCUGAAGUAUGUUUAGUAUGAAAAAUUCAAAAAUUAAAACAAUAAAGGAUUAUAGGAAAACCCAAAUGUAAAAAAAGUGAAUGUGUGUGUAUAAAAUUUUACUUUAUUGUUAAAAAUAUCUCAAUCACUUGCCUUUUUCCGAAAAAAGAAAGUCAAUAAUAUCCAUACAUUUAAUGGAUACAAAUGAUAAAACUUAAUUACAAUGUAAAAAAGUACUCUAUAAUUUAAGAAUUUUUUAGCUACAAUUAAAAGUGUGGAAUUAUAAACAAAAUAACAAGUUUAAGAAAAGCUUACUUUUUAUUUGAACAUGGGGAACAUUCAGAACGGGUUUUUUACAGGGGGAGAGAGAAAACAUCAGAAGAGAAAAUGGGCGAUUUUUCGGUCUGCCC
rnacentral:lncRNA from 1 species